UUGAGCGGAGAUAUAUGGAGCUUGCUUUAUAUAACUUAGCAGCGAACGGGUGGGUAACACGUAGAUAAUCUAUCCUAUACUGGGGGAUAGCCCGAUGAAAGUUGGAUUAAUACCGCAUAUAGCUAUAUAGUUGCAUGAUUAUGUAGUGAAAGAUUUAUUGGUAUAGGAGGAGUCUGCGGCACAUUAGCUAGUAGGUGAGGUAAAGGCUUACCUAGGCGACGAUGUGUAGCCGGUCUGAGAGGAUGAACGGCCACAAUGGAACUGAGACACGGUCCAUACUCCUACGGGAGGCAGCAGUGGGGAAUAUUGCACAAUGGGGGAAACCCUGAUGCAGCAACGCCGCGUGAGUGAAGAAGGUUUUCGGAUUGUAAAGCUCUGUUAGCAGGGAAGAGGAAGGACGGUACCUGCAGAGGAAGCCACGGCUAACUACGUGCCAGCAGCCGCGGUAAUACGUAGGUGGCAAGCGUUGUUCGGAAUAACUGGGCGUAAAGGAUGCGUAGGCGGUUAAACAAGUUAUAUGUUAAAUAUAUAGGCUUAACCUGUAGAAAGCAUAUAAAACUGUUUAACUAGAGUGCAGGAGAGGUAAGUGGAAUUCCUAGUGUAGCGGUGAAAUGCGUAGAGAUUAGGAAGAACACCAGUGGCGAAGGCGACUUACUGGACUGUAACUGACGCUGAGGCAUGAGAGCAUGGGGAGCAAACAGGAUUAGAUACCCUGGUAGUCCAUGCUGUAAACGAUGGGUACUAGGUGUGGGUUGUGA
rnacentral:rRNA from 1 species